GUGAAUCAUCAAAUCUUUGAACGCAAAUUGCACUCUCUGGCAUUCCGGGGAGUAUGCCUGUUUGAGGGUCAGUAUAAUCAAAAUCGGAGCGAUGCUGUUUGGUUUACGCCCCGGCGUUUGGGUCAUCCUAACUCUUUUUUUUAAGAGACCUGAAAUUAACAUUCUUUUCUGCACACUUUUGAGACGUACAUAAUCUUUUUUUAUUCGUCUACCCUG
rnacentral:misc_RNA from 1 species